GAUGAACGCUAGCUACAGGCUUAACACAUGCAAGUCGAGGGGAAACGGCAUUGAGUGCUUGCACUCUUUGGACGUCGACCGGCGCACGGGUGAGUAACGCGUAUCCAACCUUCCCAUUACUGUGGGAUACCUGCCGAAAGGCAGACUAAUACCGCAUAGUCUUCGAUGACGGCAUCAGAUUUGAAGUAAAGAUUUAUCGGUAAUGGAUGGGGAUGCGUCUGAUUAGCUUGUUGGCGGGGUAACGGCCCACCAAGGCUACGAUCAGUAGGGGUUCUGAGAGGAAGGUCCCCCACAUUGGAACUGAGACACGGUCCAAACUCCUACGGGAGGCAGCAGUGAGGAAUAUUGGUCAAUGGACGGAAGUCUGAACCAGCCAAGUAGCGUGCAGGAUGACGGCCCUAUGGGUUGUAAACUGCUUUUGUAUGGGGAUAAAGUUAGGGACGUGUCCCUAUUUGCAGGUACCAUACGAAUAAGGACCGGCUAAUUCCGUG
rnacentral:rRNA from 1 species